rnacentral:rRNA from 1 species
GAUGAACGCUGGUGGCGUGCCUAACACAUGCAAGUCGAGCGAUUCUCUUCGGAGAAGAGCGGCGGACGGGUGAGUAACGCGUGGGUAACCUGCCCUGUACACACGGAUAACAUACCGAAAGGUAUGCUAAUACGAGAUAACAUGCUUUUAUCGCAUGGUAGAAGUAUCAAAGCUUUUGCGGUACAGGAUGGACCCGCGUCUGAUUAGCUAGUUGGUGAGGUAACGGCUCACCAAGGCGACGAUCAGUAGCCGACCUGAGAGGGUGAUCGGCCACAUUGGAACUGAGACACGGUCCAAACUCCUACGGGAGGCAGCAGUGGGGAAUAUUGCACAAUGGGCGAAAGCCUGAUGCAGCAACGCCGCGUGAGCGAUGAAGGCCUUCGGGUCGUAAAGCUCUGCCCUCAAGGAAGAUAAUGACGGUACUUGAGGAGGAAGCCCCGGCUAACUACGUG